GUAACCUGCCCAGAAGUAGGGGAUAACACCUGGAAACAGAUGCUAAUACCGUAUAACAGAGAAAACCGCAUGGUUUUCUUUUAAAAGAUGGCUCUGCUAUCACUUCUGGAUGGACCCGCGGCGUAUUAGCUAGUUGGUGAGGUAAAGGCUCACCAAGGCAGUGAUACGUAGCCGACCUGAGAGGGUAAUCGGCCACAUUGGGACUGAGACACGGCCCAGACUCCUACGGGAGGCAGCAGUAGGGAAUCUUCCACAAUGGACGCAAGUCUGAUGGAGCAACGCCGCGUGAGUGAAGAAGGGUUUCGGCUCGUAAAGCUCUGUUGUUAAAGAAGAACGUGGGUAAGAGUAACUGUUUACCCAGUGACGGUAUUUAACCAGAAAGCCACGGCUAACUACGUGCCAGCAGCCGCGGUAAUACGUAGGUGGCAAGCGUUAUCCGGAU
rnacentral:rRNA from 1 species